ACAGUAGCGCCAACACCGUCUGACUCCGCCGCAGAAAGGGGGCAGGCCGACUGUCCCCGCGGGGAAGACGACACCGGCCCCCUUACCGUCCCCCGCUUCGGACAGGGGCACGCGGAGCCCACACCAGUGACACGGCCGGACCAGCAGGGGAACAAAAUGGACACCAAAACACCAUCAAAAAGCGUUCGCUAAAGGGAAAAAUAUUUUUCCUAUGGGUCUGUCUACCUGCGAGGCCUCAAAAAAUACUGGAGGCACAGGAAAAGAA